GUCAUUUAUUUCAACGACUAAAAAGAUAUGAUGAUUGUAUUGAAUUCAUCAAGCCUUUUCCGUGGUUGACCUUGCAGUCUUGCCCCAAGUUCGACAGUAUUAGAGUAUCUCCAUCAAAGCAUCUUAGUGAAUAUCUUACAAGUUGCUUAGCAAAAAGCAGAUUAAUUAUAAUGGAAAUAAUAUGAUUUUGCUAAAGAAUCGAUUGUUAGCUUAGAUGUUUUAGGAUCAUUAAGAACCAUGGGUGUGUUGGUUUGUGAUUGGUUGGAGUUAAAAAAAAAAAAAAAAAUUCUUUUUCUUCUUUCCCGAUUUUAUUUUGCUCUCCUCUCUCUCCUUAAUCGUUUCUCUGUCUCUCCUCUCUCGUCUCUUCGAUAUCGAUAUAUCAUAAUGGAAAAGCUUGAGAGAAGAUGUAUAACACUGGGCAAAGCGUCUUUCACCGGCGAUAUCAUCAUCUCGAUCGACUGCGGCACUAUCGACGGUGGCGGUUCAUCAAUUGGAGAGGGUUUUUGCUUCACCAAAUCAGAGAUUGAAGUGGUCCAUUCUCGAAUUGUUUGGUUUAAUCGUUUCUCUAGUUUGGAUUUCAGAGUCAUUACGAUGGCGCCAUCAACAACCAACCAACCGUCGAACUUAUCCAAAGAAAUGAUCAGAUUAAUCCAAGACAAUUAACCAUAAGUUUUCAUUGUAAUAAUCUAUAUGUUUUGGCACUUGAAUUUCAAUAUAACUGGCCUCUCUUCUAUUUCUCAAA